GGAAACAGAUGCUAAUACCGGAUAACAACAGAUGAUGCCUAUCAACUGUUUAAAAGAUGGUUCUGCUAUCACUCUUGGAUGGACCUGCGGUGCAUUAGCUAGUUGGUAGGGUAACGGCCUACCAAGGCGAUGAUGCAUAGCCGAGUUGAGAGACUGAUCGGCCACAUUUGGGACUGAGACACGGCCCAAACUCCUACGGGAGGCAGCAGCC
rnacentral:rRNA from 1 species